GCCUGAGUGGCUCAGUUGGUUAAAGCAUUAGACUCAUGAUUCUGGCUCAGGUCAUGAUCUCAUGGUUUGUGGGUUCGAGCCCGCUUCAGGCU
rnacentral:tRNA from 1 species